rnacentral:lncRNA from 1 species
CUCCCUCUAGCGCCGCCCCACCCCCACGUCUUCACAAGAGCUCCAACAAGGGCAAAUAAAACCUCAUCACCAUUAUAAAUUCAAAAGCGCCAACCCAUCUCCUAAAAUCAAGUAAUCCAGCCGCUCAUAAUUUCACAAACAAUCAAGGAAAAAAUGACUCUGUUUGGCGAUGAGUUUCUCCAAAAAAAAAAAAAAAACCACGUCUUCACAAGAAAACCAUUUCAAUGGCUCCAAUUACCGAUUCCAAUCCCAGGAAAAUCAAUUCUCUCAAUCUAAGUCCCCACAAACCAUUUCACGAAAUCAAUUAACAAAUCAAUUUUCUCUCAAUCUUCUUCACGAUUUUUUUUAAUCAACUCUCUAAACCAACUGAACAUAAAAUCAAAAUCCCACAAUUGCCAUCAAUUCUCCACAAACCAAAAAUUGGGGAUCGACUCUUUGUUGACCUUAACUUCAACCGCCAUCGCCGCAAACCAUUCAGUUCAGCCGCAACAAACCAGUCCUUCAUGGGCAGCAGCUCGAUUUCUCAUUUCUGAUCGUCGAAUUCUGGAUCUCGAUUUUUGGUUGUUAACGGAGACUCUCAAUUUCUUCGUGGGCUGCAUCGUUUUCUGUUCAGGGAUGGAGGUUUAUGACGGCUGUAGCUGGAUCGUCAAUACCACAAUUACAUUCAACAGACUAAAAAUUCAAAAUAUAGAUUGGAGCUUCUUACCGAACCAUCUAAAACAAAAAUCAUAACCGAAUUCCUCAGAGCAUUUUCAAGCGUAAAUUUUGCUAAAGCGCUUGAAAAACCUAAUGAGAUAAUAAAUCCUUUCAAUUGAAUUGCGGGGCAAUUUUGCGAGAAAAAAAAAAAAGUUAUUCCAGAAACACUGUAGCAGCCUAGCAUCGUUAAUCAGGGGAACCCUCGUGCGUGGAUCCCAGGCGGAACAGUGAUUUAUACUCGGGCCAUAUGCUAAUAUCGAGCUUCUCAAAUUGGGUAACUUGACUACCAACGAGAAUAGUGUAACACCCCGCAUUUUCC